CUGGCAAUGCCUAAUUCUCCUUGGGUCUGGGAACCAGGCUUGUGGUCCUCCUGUGUCUGGGUUCCAGCACAGCCAGUUUCAACGACCUCUUCCUGACCUUGUAUGACUGGGUCUGGGGGCUAUCAUUGUAGUGAGUGGCGGCCCUGGGACUGAUAGCAAGGACAGUGGUGAGCUCAGUUCACUCCCACUGGGCCCAACAACACUGGACACCUGGCCACUGCAGUCUUCUGCCCUGCUGGACAGCAGCAGCAGCAGCAGCAGCAACAGUAACAGCAGCAGUUCGUCCGGACCCAACCCUUCUACCUCCUUUGAGCCCAUCAAGGCAGACCCCACAGGUGUUUUGGAACUCCCCAAAGAGCUGUCAGAAAUCUUUGAUCCCACACGAGAGUGCAUGAGCUCGGAGCUGCUGGAGGAGUUGAUGUCCUCAGAAGGUGGGUGGCCCUGGAAGGUGGGAGUGGGUGUGGGCAGGGGUUGGGCUGCUGCUAGGGGAGCCCUGGCCCAGGGCCUGAGACUAGUGCUCUCUGCAGUGUUUGCCCCUCUGCUCCGUCUUUCUCCACCCCCCGGAGACCACGAUUAUAUCUACAACCUGGACGAGAGUGAAGGUGUCUGUGACCUCUUUGAUGUGCCUGUUCUCAACCUCUGACUGACAGGGACAUGCACUGUGUGGCUGGGACCCAGACUGUCUGACCUGGGGGUUGCCUGGGGACCUCUCCCACCCGACCCCUACAGAGCUUGAGAG
rnacentral:sRNA from 1 species